rnacentral:rRNA from 1 species
GACGAACGCUGGCGGCGUGCUUAACACAUGCAAGUCGAACGAAGAGCGAUGGAAGCUUGCUUCUAUCAAUCUUAGUGGCGAACGGGUGAGUAACGCGUAAUCAACCUGCCCUUCAGAGGGGGACAACAGUUGGAAACGACUGCUAAUACCGCAUACGAUCUAAUCUCGGCAUCGAGGAUGGAUGAAAGGUGGCCUCUACAUGUAAGCUAUCACUGAAGGAGGGGAGUGCGUCUGAUUAGCUAGUUGGAGGGGUAACGGCCCACCAAGGCGAUGAUCAGUAGCCGGUCUGAGAGGAUGAACGGCCACAUUGGGACUGAGACACGGCCCAGACUCCUACGGGAGGCAGCAGUGGGGAAUCUUCCGCAAUGGACGAAAGUCUGACGGAGCAACGCCGCGUGAGUGAUGACGGCCUUCGGGUUGUAAAGCUCUGUUAAUCGGGACGAAAGGCCUUCUUGCGAAUAGUGAGAAGGAUUGACGGUACCGGAAUAGAAAGCCACGGCUAACUACGUG